ACAGCAGAUUGAUGGGGCACA
rnacentral:miRNA from 1 species